GACGAACGCUGGCGGCGUGCCUAAUACAUGCAAGUCGAGCGCAUGAAACUUUUGGAUCCCUUCGGGGUGAAGACUGUGGAUUGAGCGGCGGACGGGUGAGUAACACGUGGGCAACCUGCCUGUAAGCCUGGGAUAACUUCGGGAAACCGGAGCUAAUACCGGAUAAUCAUGGACACCACAUGGUGUCUUUGUGAAAGAUGGUUCUGCCAUCACUUACAGAUGGGCCCGCGGCGCAUUAGCUAGUUGGUAGGGUAAUGGCCUACCAAGGCGACGAUGCGUAGCCGACCUGAGAGGGUGAUCGGCCACACUGGGACUGAGACACGGCCCAGACUCCUACGGGAGGCAGCAGUAGGGAAUCUUCGGCAAUGGACGAAAGUCUGACCGAGCAACGCCGCGUGAGCGAUGAAGGUCUUCGGAUCGUAAAGCUCUGUUGUCAGAGAAGAACAAGUGGUAGAGGAAAUGCUAUCACCUUGACGGUAUCUGACCAGAAAGCCCCGGCUAACUACGUGCCAGCCGCCGCCGUAACAC
rnacentral:rRNA from 1 species